UAACUCCUUGGGGAUGCCACGUAUGACU
rnacentral:piRNA from 1 species